rnacentral:rRNA from 1 species
ACACGCAUGACACACUGCAUAUCAAUAAGCGGAGGAAAAGAAACUAACAAGGAUUCCCUUAGUAACGGCGAGUGAAGCGGGAAGAGCUCAAAUUUGAAAUCUUCAAGGUUUUACCUUGACGAAUUGUAGUUUAAAGAAGUGUUUUCUGUUGGAGUUUUGGUAAAAGUUCUUUGGAAUAGGACAUCAUAGAGGGUGAGAAUCCCGUAUUUGGUCAUUCUUUCUAGCUUUGUGAUACACUUUCAACGAGUCGGAUUGUUUGGGAAUGCAGUCCAAAGUGGGUGGUAAAUUUCAUCUAAAGCUAAAUAUUGGCGAGAGACCGAUAGCGAACAAGUACCGUGAGGGAAAGAUGAAAAGAACUUUGAAAAGAGAGUUAAACAGUACGUGAAAUUGUCAAAAGGGAAGCGCUUGACACCAGUGUUGUUUUUCCGAAAAUCAAUUACGAAUGUUUUGUUUUUGAGAAGUUAUGACUUCAUCGGCUUGCUUCUCUCUUUACGAAACUUUCUUAAUGCACUUUUCGGUUAACAAGUCAACAUCAAUUUCUUUUGUUGUAAAAGGGUAUGAGGAAGGUGGCUUUCUUUUCGGAGAAAGUGUUUAUAGCCUUGUACCUCUGCAAUCGGGGAGAUUGAGGUCUGCAGCGUAGAUCCUUCGGGGUUAGAUACAUUUGUGCUAAGUUAUAGCUUUUCAUAGACAACUUGUUGACUAUGUUAAGUCUUGUAGCUUACUCGCUUAUGCUAUUUUACCUACGCUUAGGAUGUUGAACUACUGAGACAUAGA